GACGAACGCUGGCGGCGUGCCUAACACAUGCAAGUCGAACGAGUGGCGGACGGGUGAGUAAUGUCUGGGAAACUGCCUGAUGGAGGGGGAUAACUACUGGAAACGGUCGCUAAUACCGCAUACCAUCAGAUGUGCCCAGCUGGGAUUAGCUUGUUGGUGGGGUAACGGCUCACCAAGUCGACGAUCCAUAGCUGGUCUGAGAGGAUGACCAGCCACACUGGAACUGAGACACGGUCCAGAGUCCUACGGGAGGCAGCAGUGGGGGAUAUUGCACAAUGGGCGAAAGCCUGAUGAAGACAUGCCGCGUGUAUGAAGAAGGCCUUCUGGUUGUAAAGUACUUUCAGCGGGGAGGCGUUACCCGCAGAAGAAGCACCGGCUAACUCCGUGCCAGCAGCCGCGGUAAUUC
rnacentral:rRNA from 1 species